rfam:Exophiala oligosperma strain CBS 72588 unplaced genomic scaffold supercont1.3, whole genome shotgun sequence.
GCUCUGCUGGCGCAAUGGUAGCGCGCCAGACUUCUAUUUAUGAAAUCUGGAGGGUAAGAGAACUCUCCUUCAACGCGUUACCAUGAACACAAAACUAAUAUCCAAAUUUAGUUGUGGGUUCGAGUCCCACGCAGAGUG